rnacentral:rRNA from 1 species
UACGGGGGGCAAGCGUUGUUCGGAAUUACUGGGCGUAAAGGGCUCGUAGGCGGCCAACUAAGUCAGACGUGAAUCCUCGGCUUAACCGGGAACUGCGUCUGAUACUGGAUGGCUUGAGUUUGGAGAGGAUGCGGAAUUCCAGGUGUAGCGGUGGAAUGCGCAGAUAUCAGGAGGAACACCGGUGGCGAAGCGGUUCUCUGGGAAUUAGCCUGACGCUGAGGAGCGAAAGCAUGGGAGCGAACAGG